AUCUAUACGACUGGCAAGCACAUUUCUACGGAAGCCCAUACAGUAUGGACUAUAUAGCCUGCAUUUGAAUAAGAGUUUGUUCAACAACAAAAGUUAAGAAAUAAAUAAGGGUUAAGGCUGUUGUCAUAAACUGACUUCCAGUUGUCAUGCCUGUUUAUGACAUAUUUAUAACACUGUUAUGAUGGAUUCAUGGGAAGUUUAACCAUGUUUUUCUUCUGUCAUGUUCUAUCAAUCCAUUCAUGAGGCUAUGGCCCUCUUGCGCUGUUGCCCUUCUCAUCCCUCCAGCAGAUGAGUGUGGUGACGGUGGCCCCCGGGGGACAGCCAUCCCUCGCCUUUAUCAAAGAGGGCCCGAGAUCAUGGCCAGGCUCUGCCUGAAAGAAAGCAGUACGGGAGAAAGACAAAGAGAGAGGAGAGAUAAAGAGAGCCAUGAAGGGGGAGUUAGAGAUAGACAUGCAGUCCCUGCGGUCUGCUGGUAAUGAACAAUCUGGUCAAGCCGGUGAGUGCUGAGGUCAUAACUACCCUCAUAUUGGCACAUCUUCAUAUCAUCAUGGUCACUGGUAUGAAUAGCAUCUCUCUGUCUUUGUAGCCCAAACAUGGUCUGUUCUACUGUUAAUAAACUGUGCUCUGGAUCAGAUGACAUUCACAAAUACUUGAAAUAGCUUAUCUAUUGACUACUGUGAAGUUGGUCCAAUUAAAUGAAAGACAGGAAGAAUGGUAUCCUAACUUGUUGCGGGUCUAUAGGAUACCUUGUGAGUAUAAAACCAUCACAGAACAGGUGAGGAAUUUAUUCUGCAAUGAUUCUAAUCUAACCUAGGAAAAGGAUGCCUAUUUCUAAUUAUUCUAGAAUGCAAAGAAACAAAAUUGCUGUUCUCUCUUCUCACUAACAGCAAACAAUUUCAUCUUAUCAAUUUGUUAUGAACAAACGUGUCCAUCUUAUCCCCCAUUUGCACAAAAUACUAGGCUACUUGCCUGCUUGCAAUACUUCAAGCACUAGAAACUGUGGAUACGCAUGGUCUAAAGUUUGCGAGAUGGUGAGCACAUUCUAACCUCAAAUUGAGUUUUUAUAAAGGUACAUUUUGUGUGAAAACUGCCACACGCAUGUUUUAGGGUAUGUUUUGUAUGUACGCAUGGUUUAUAAAUUAGGCCCCAGAGGAGGAGACGGGACUAGAAUGACAUUGAUUGAAAGUAUGGAAAAGGAGAAAGACAAAGAAACUCUGUAGCGAAUGGAGGUACAUGAAAGGACAGACGAAGGGCAGAUUCUUCCAUUGAUUGGCUCAGUUCACUUUGGCACAGCUCAGUAGUGUGAAAAGGGUACAGGCCUAAGGUCUCACCCACUCCCCAUCUCCCUCCCUGUGUAGCUACAGUGUGGGCAUAUGGGGAGACGGGCUCAAUGACUGCGGAGCCUUGAGGGCCGCAGAUGUAAGUGUGUCUGUCUGAGGAUGAUGCUUCUGUGGACUCUCCCUUCACCUCCAAGUCAGACAACAUCAGCUGUACACGGAGAAGACUAACCUGGUCAACCUGCAGUUCCUGUUCUUUCCUGGUGAUGCUGCUGGCAAUCAUUAUAGGGAAAGGGGGACCCAGCAUUGAGCUGUGCCCCUAGCGGCCCCACACCAGACUUCUGGCGCUGCCGGUCCUAGCUAGCCUGAUGCUGCACACCCUGCUGCUCAUCCUGGGCCAGGUGUCCACUCUGCAGAUCACCACCACCCAGUACUGAUACUGAUAGUACCGCAUGCCUUGGUCUGUCUGCGUCUGCUACAAGGGAGGCAACCGUCCAAUAAGCAGUACAAGCGCCUAGAAGUCCUCCUGUCAGACUCGCCCUCCUAGCCCAACCACUAGCCCCGCCCCAAUGCAGUCAUUGGCCUGAGCUAGCAUCAGCCUCCCCUCCCAUUGGACAAUAUUAUUCCCCCGGCCAGAGUGCCUGGGAUCUGAGUCAAAUGAGCAAACUCUGAGGUAUGUUUUACACAUUUUAAUUUUCAACAGCAAUGUGAAGUACAAUACUGUGCCACUGGUAGCAGCCAGCAAUAUUAGACUAUAAAACGUCAAAUAACCUUGUCAGGUUGCAUUCAUUUGUGAGAAUUGAGAAACUUGAAAUGUUUAGUAAAGAGCGAAUUUGAUCCCAUAAAUAAAGAUUUGUUCAAUAGGGGACUCCGAUGGA